CAUUUGAUAGGUUUGAAAGGCUUGACGGAUCUGGCAAAAAUUAGACGUCCUGUGGUGGUGUGAAGUUUUGCAUCGGCGAAAAAAGGUCAUUAUGGGGCGUGAGUUUCUCUUAGUCAGUCGUCACCGUCUUUGGGAUUCGGAUAAGAGGUUUCCGAUUUUUUCAUACGCCCAACCUCUCAGCUGUGGAAGUUAAAGUUCAAGAGCCAUGUUUGACGGAUUUUGCCUUGGGACCUCGGAAUCUGCGGGAUAAGAGGAUUGUGGCUUUUUGGCGAUACCGGUUGGUGGACUGUGAUAAUGCUUUGUGAGGCCCUCUAGAAGCAGGCGAAGGUCGACAGUGUUGAAGGUAGUAUUGGUUGCGAUAAGGCAUUCCCACAUCCCAUUAGGAGUAAGUGGAAAC